ensembl:ncRNA lncRNA:CR44579 long non-coding RNA:CR44579
AUAUAGGCUGACGGACUUCUCGGCUUUUUUUACCAGUAACCCCUAUAUCUAACUUUGGACUGGGCGUUACGCAGCUCGACAAUUCACGCCUAAUGAAUGGGUACCACAUAUGACCAUAAAUACGAGGCAAAGCGCUGCUGAAACUCCAGUCGAAAACGAAACCAAACCACAAAUCAAAUUAAAAUUCCAAAAAACGAUUCAUAUCACAAUGCCCGGCUUGGAGUCAUUAUUCUCGGUGGGCCGUUAGAACCCAUCUUCAUCUGGAGUACAUGAAGAGUAGAACUGCAACUGCGUUGAUUUCCCGACAAUCGAGCCGCCAUGGUAACCAAACAAAGCCAACUCUUUGGCUGCCACGCAUGACUUGACGGUUGUUGGAGCGCUUAACCCAAAUCCAAACAAUAUUUCCAGGGUGGCAAACUGGAGGUUCGAGAU